UACAGAGGUCUCAAGCGUUGUUCGGAUUCAUUGGGCGUAAAGGGUGCGUAGGCGGCGCGGUAAGUCGGGUGUGAAAUCUCGGAGCUUAACUCCGAAACUGCAUUCGAUACUGCCGUGCUUGAGGACUGGAGAGGAGACUGGAAUUUACGGUGUAGCGGUGAAAUGCGUAGAUAUCGAGAGGAACACCUGCGGCGAAGGCGGGUUGCUGGGCUGACACUGACGCUCGAUGCACGAAAGCGUGGGGAGCAAACAGG
rnacentral:rRNA from 1 species